rnacentral:ncRNA from 1 species
ACAAUGAUACUUCCGCCUAGCCACAGACAUCGCAAUGGGGGCGGCUCCGGCAGAUAACGGAGGGGUUAAAUGUACCCAUG